rnacentral:rRNA from 1 species
CCUACGGGAGGCAGCAGUGGGGAAUAUUGCACAAUGGGCGCAAGCCUGAUGCAGCCAUGCCGCGUGUGUGAAGAAGGCCUUCGGGUUGUAAAGCACUUUCAGCGGGGAGGAAGGCGGUGAGGUUAAUAACCUCAUCGAUUGACGUUACCCGCAGAAGAAGCACCGGCUAACUCCGUGCCAGCAGCCGCGGUAAUACGGAGGGUGCAAGCGUUAAUCGGAAUUACUGGGCGUAAAGCGCACGCAGGCGGUCUGUCAAGUCGGAUGUGAAAUCCCCGGGCUCAACCUGGGAACUGCAUUCGAAACUGGCAGGCUAGAGUCUUGUAGAGGGGGGUAGAACUCCAGGUGUAGCGGUGAAAUGCGUAGAGAUCUGGAGGAAUACCGGUGGCGAAGGCGGCCCCCUGGACAAAGACUGACGCUCAGGUGCGAAAGCGUGGGGAGCAAACAGGAUUAGAUACCCGAGUAGUC